UUCAACUCGCUCUUACAAUGCACGGCGUGUCUCAACUACUGCAUCGGGAACAGCCCUACAUUGACACGUGAUAGAGAACAGCUGUUACUUCCUUAUGGGUAUUGUUUUCGCGAUCUACGAGAGGUCAGAAGUGGAAAUUUUUAAGGGCAAACUUUUAAACUGAUAAAUUUUUUAAAGGCGGCAAAGGGCGGCAAGACAAAAUAUAUACCAUGUAGAAGAACAAGGACUAAGGUUUCUAACCAACAUUUCAGAUUUUGGGGCAAAUUUGGGCAAAUAUUUUUUUUGUAAUUUUUUUCAACGCCCCCCCCCCUCGCACACGCUUGUUUCUGCGGCCCGCCGAGGUCAAUUUUUAUGCGUACGCUUAACAGAAAUGUCACAUCGUUUGCUUUGCAAACAUCAGUUUAGAAUUGAUAAUAACAGAGAAAAUCAUGAUUGUGAUGAGUUUGAUGGGAAUCAUGUUGAAAUGCACUAAAAUGUUAUAACCUGAGUGGACUUUGACAUAAUUAUCUAACUCUGAAUAGGUGUUUCCAUCCGUUUUGCGUAGAAUGUGAUAAUGCGCCAUCAAUAAAUUGAAUAAUCCUGACUCUUCUCCUUGGAUGUCUGUGGACUUUGAUUUGUUUGUGAAACUUCCAACUGAGAUCUUUUCACUCAUUGAUAUAAAUACUGAUGAAAAUGUUGCCAUGCAGGCAGUUUCACUUCGUCUAUCUUACUGACUCAGUAGACGGUCCUCAUGAAGCGUGAUUUCAUAUUGAUUAUUUCAUUGUAAAAGUUAAUUUUGUUAAAUUGUGUGGGAAAGUAGUGAAAGUUUGCUGUGGACAAAUGUGCUUUUUUACCUUGAAUCUCAAAACAAGAAAGUACAAUGGGUUUAGAUGCAGAUGGUGAAUGACCUUUUCCUACUUGGAAGCAGAACUGAUCUAAACUACUACUUGAACAGAAGCAGUUUCAAUUGAUAGGGAGGACUCAAAUGAUUUCCUUUUCCAAUUUUGAGGCUUUGCCAAAUGGACAAUUGUGGUAAAGGAAGAUGAAAUUCUAAUGUGGAAAUUAUUAUGAAUAUUUGUGCCAAGGUAGAAAAAAGUAACAAAGGAAGGGUCAAGUCUUCUCUUUGAUUCUGUGCCCCCUUAUUCCAAGAACAGUGUAUGAGACUUUUUAAGGAAAAGCUUGUUGAUGGUGACAGUGGUUUCACAACUUAACAUUUGGGAAUUCAUCGUAUGCAUUAUGAUCGUCAAACAACCACAAGGUCAACAUGGCUAAUGUUUAUUUACAACAUAGAGUGGGAUAAUCUGAGUAUCUUUGCCUGAUCAAGAGCAGAAGAACCAGCCUCAGUAGUAUGAAGGGGAACAUGAUAAUCAAACUGGUGGAUUGAUUUCAAUGCUAGAGUCAUACUUGGAACUAGGGAAAACAAGAGGACAGUCUCACAGGACUAGAAAACAUUGUUACAUGUGUACAGCACAUAGCAUGAUCAAGGUCCAGGUACCUCUCAGUAAUUUGCAUCUCAUGUGAGGUCUUAAAGUCAAGAGAGGAAACAAGAUCAAAAUUGGGCUUUGACCAGAUAACUUUAUCUGGACCUCACUGCAUCACUUACUGCAACAUAGAAGAGUGACAACAACUGUUUAAAAACACUUUUUUGAUUCUUGAAGAUCAACAUGAAAAAUCCAGAUCUGUCUUUUUUAUUAUUUUAUUUAUUUAUUUUGUGUGGUGAUGUACGUAUGCUGUUUACACAUCUUUGUCAAUGACCUUGAAGGUGUGAAUAUUGUUAAGUCCCUUUGGGGAAGUUCUCUAUAUGUACAUGUAGGUAUUUGUGUGAAAAACUUUGAUGAAAGUAUAUAUAUAUCUAGAACUUAAGUCUAGGAGAAGAACGUACAUUGAAAUAAUAUAAAAAACUUUUUGAGGAGGAUCUCCAUGCCAAAGACUUAAAAUAGCUCGGGUUUAAAUCUUACUGUUAUUUGUAUUUAUAUAUUUACUUUUUAUAUAUGCAGACUUCUGUACAUCAUAGUAUAAUUAAACCAAAAGAUUUUUAAAACUACAAUCAUCUAUAUUUCUUUAUUUAUUUUGUGUGUGUAAAGUACGUAUGCUGUUUACACAUCUUUGUCAAUGACCUUGAAAGUGUAAAUAUUAUUGAGUCCCUUCUGAGAAUUUCUCUCUAUGUACAUAAAGGUAUUUGUGUGAAAAACUUUGAU